GAUGAAGAACGUAGCAAAAUGCGAUACAUGGUGUGAAUUGCAGAAUCCCGUGAACCAUCGAGUUUUUGAACGCAAGUUGCGCCCGCAGCCUUUUGGCCGAGGGCACGUCUGCCUGGGCGUCACGCAUCGCGUCGCCCCCCACAAUUCUCCGUAAAGGGAACGUGUGUUUUGGGGGCGGAUAUUGGUCUCCCGUGCUCAUGGCGUGGUUGGCCGAAAUAGGAGUCCUUUCGAUGGACGCACGAACUAGUGGUGGUCGUAAAAACCCUCUUCUUUUGUUUCGUGCUGUUGCUCGCAAGGUAAACUCUUUAAAAACCCCAAUGUGUCGUCUCUUGACGACGCUUCGACCGCGACCCCAGGUCAGGCGGGACUACCCGCUGAGUUUAAGCAUAUCAAUAAGCGGAGGA
rnacentral:misc_RNA from 1 species